rnacentral:rRNA from 1 species
AGUGAACGCUGGCGGCAGGCCUAACACAUGCAAGUCGAACGGCAGCACAGUAAGAGCUUGCUCUUACGGGUGGCGAGUGGCGGACGGGUGAGGAAUACAUCGGAAUCUACUUUUUCGUGGGGGAUAACGUAGGGAAACUUACGCUAAUACCGCAUACGACCUACGGGUGAAAGCAGGGGAUCUUCGGACCUUGCGCGAUUGAAUGAGCCGAUGUCGGAUUAGCUAGUUGGCGGGGUAAAGGCCCACCAAGGCGACGAUCCGUAGCUGGUCUGAGAGGAUGAUCAGCCACACUGGAACUGAGACACGGUCCAGACUCCUACGGGAGGCAGCAGUGGGGAAUAUUGGACAAUGGGCGCAAGCCUGAUCCAGCCAUACCGCGUGGGUGGAGAAGGCCUUCGGGUUGUAAAGCCCUUUUGUUGGGAAAGAAAAGCAGCAGGUUAAUACCCCGCUGUUCUGACGGUACCCAAAGAAUAAGCACCGGCUAACUUCGUG